rnacentral:rRNA from 2 species
AUGACUCUCGGCAACGGAUAUCUCGGCUCUCGCAUCGAUGAAGAACGUAGCGAAAUGCGAUACUUGGUGUGAAUUGCAGAAUCCCGUGAACCAUCGAGUCUUUGAACGCAAGUUGCGCCCAAAGCCGUUAGGCCGAGGGCACGUCUGCCUGGGCGUCACG